GAUUAGAGUUUGAUCAUGGCUCAGAGCGAACGCUGGCGGCAGGCUUAACACAUGCAAGUCGAGCGGGCCCUUUCGGGGGUCAGCGGCGGACGGGUGAGUAACGCGUGGGAACGUGCCUUCUGGUUCGGAAUAACUCAGGGAAACUUGAGCUAAUACCGGAUACGCCCUUUUGGGGAAAGGUUUACUGCCGGAAGAUCGGCCCGCGUCUGAUUAGCUAGUUGGUGGGGUAACGGCCUACCAAGGCGACGAUCAGUAGCUGGUCUGAGAGGAUGAUCAGCCACACUGGGACUGAGACACGGCCCAGACUCCUACGGGAGGCAGCAGUGGGGAAUAUUGGACAAUGGGCGCAAGCCUGAUCCAGCCAUGCCGCGUGAGUGAUGAAGGCCUUAGGGUUGUAAAGCUCUUUUAUCCGGGACGAUAAUGACGGUACCGGAGGAAUAAGCCCCGGCUAACUUCGUGCCAGCCGCCGCGGUAAUACA
rnacentral:rRNA from 1 species